rnacentral:lncRNA from 1 species
GUUUAUCAAUUUCUUUUUUAGGAGAAGUUUGGCUUUGAGAAAGGUUUUGUAGGGCGAGCAUGAGCUCUGGAGAUUUUGUAAUGGAACUCAUCCAUUGCUUUACUUGGUCAUCAGAAGAAAUAGAUUUGUAUUGGGCUCCAUGUUCUUCAACCAUUUCAAUCCAAGAUUUAAUGGGCAUGGCAGAAUAAAGUAGUUUUUCUUUAGAAGGGGUUGACUGGGG